UGGGGAAUUUUGGACAAUGGGCGAAAGCCUGAUCCAGCAAUGCCGCGUGUGUGAAGAAGGCCUUCGGGUUGUAAAGCACUUUUGUCCGGAAAGAAAUCCUUGGCUCUAAUACAGUCGGGGGAUGACGGUACCGGAAGAAUAAGCACCGGCUAACUACGUGCCAGCAGCCGCGGUAAUACGUAGGGUGCAAGCGUUAAUCGGAAUUACUGGGCGUAAAGCGUGCGCAGGCGGUUUGCUAAGACCGAUGUGAAAUCCCCGGGCUCAACCUGGGAACUGCAUUGGUGACUGGCAGGCUAGAGUAUGGCAGAGGGGGGUAGAAUUCCACGUGUAGCAGUGAAAUGCGUAGAGAUGUGGAGGAAUACCGAUGGCGAAGGCAGCCCCCUGGGCCAAUACUGACGCUCAUGCACGAAAGCGUGGGGAGCAAACAGGAUUAGAUACCCCUGGUAGUCCACGCCCUAAACGAUGUCAGCUAGUUGUUGGGGGAUUCAUUUCCUUAGUAACGUAGCUAACGCGUGAAGUUGACCGCCUGGGGAGUACGGUCGCAAGAUUAAAACUCAAAUGAAUUGACGGGGUCAUAGCUGUUUCCU
rnacentral:rRNA from 1 species